AGGUGAAGUUAACGAGGGAAAGGU
rnacentral:piRNA from 1 species